UGUUAAAAAUUUCAUCCAUUUAUACUGUUAAAAACUGGCGUAGUUGAUGGAAUAAUCAGACAGUGACAUGCCACGUGUUCCUUAUGCUAAUGAAUAAAAACCAAUUUUUAACAACAAAAAUGAUGAAAUUUUUAACA
rfam:Gossypium raimondii Chr09_contig_738, whole genome shotgun sequence.